AUUUUUUUUUUUUUUUUUUGGUUUGCUGUUUAUAAUUCAUAUGGAGGGAAGUUGGGUCAGUUUUGUGCUUUGUAAUCCUAAGGGUAAUGAUGAGAAGCUUUCGAUCUGUAUAACUAUUGUUGUUAUUUUUUGGGGGCAUUUCGAUGAGUUCCAAUGAUGAUGAGAAUUGAAUAAAUUUGGAUUGGCAAAUGAAAUUAUCUAGUGGAACCUCGUGUUUGUCAACCGGGAGGCGUUUACAGUUAACCAGACUCUUGCUGCACGUUUUUGGCUCGGUUGGGAUUAAAUUUUAUUCCCAAUUUUAAUGGGAUUCUCAUUGUACUAGCGGAGAGCGAACGAGUGAGGUGCACCGGUAACAAAAUUAAAAUUUUAUUAAAGUUACAAAAAAUUACUUUCAAAGUUAUUAAAUUUUUAUUUUUAUUUCAACUAGAUCUAACUGAACAAGAUUUUAUACUAAUCAACAAGAAAUUAAUAUGGAUAUUUCUAUUAAUUUGAUCUUGUAUUGAGAUCUAGCUAUUGGUCAUGAUUUUAAGAGCAUUGGCGCUUCCUAUCCUCUU
rnacentral:misc_RNA from 1 species